ACAACAUCAAACUCCUCCGCUCCUCCAGGACAACAUCAACCUUCCUCCUCUCCUCCAGGACAACAUCAACCUUCCUCCUCUCCUCAGGACUAUAGUACAACAUCAACUUCCUCCUCUCCUCCAGUACACCAUCCAACCUUUUCCUUUCUCCAGGACAACAUCAACCUUUCCCCUCUCCUCCAGGACAACAUCAACCUUCCUCCUCUCCUCCAGGACUACAGUACAACAUCAAUCUUCCUUCCUCUCCUCCGGACACAUCAACCUUCCUCCUCUCCUCCCGGAGUACAGUACAACAGCAACCUUCCUCCUCUCCUCUAGUACAACAUCAACCUUUCUCCUCUCCUCCGGGACAACAUCAACCUUCCACCUCUCCUCCAGGACAACAUCAACCUUCCACCUCUCCCCAGGAGACAGUACAACAUCAACCUUCCACAUCUCCUCCAGGAACACAUCAACCUUCCUCCUCUCCUCUAGUACAACAUCAACCUUCCUCCUCUCCCCAGGACAACAUCAACCAUCCUCCUCUCCUCCAGUACCACAUCAACCUUCUUCCUCUUCCUCCAGGACAACAUCAACCUCCUCAUCUCCUCCAGACAACAUCAACCUUCACCUCUCCUCCAGUACAACAUCAACCUUGCUCCGCUCCUCCAGGACAACAUCAACCUUCCUCCUCUCCUCCUCUCUCCAGGCAGAACAUCAACCUUUCCCCUCUCCUCCAGGACAACAUCAAACUUCCUCCUUCCUCCCGGACACCUCACCUUCCUCCUCUCCUCCAGGACACAUCAACCUUCCUCCUCCCUCCAGGACUCCAGGACUAUAGUACAACAUCAACCUUCCUCCUCUCCUCCAGGACUACAGUACAACAUCACACCUUCAACCUCUCUCCAGGAGAACGUCAACCUCCACCUUCCUCCAGGACUAUAGCACACCUCAACCUCCACCUCUCCUCCAGGAGAAACAUCACCUUCUUCCUCUCCUCCAGUACACCACAACCUUCUUCCUUUCCUCCAGGACAACAUCAACCUUCCCCCUCUCCUCCAGGACACAUCAAACUUCUCGCUCCUCCAGGACAACAUCAACCUCCUCCUCUCCUCCAGGACACAUCAAAUUAAUCUCCAUUCCGGAAGUACACACAACCUUCCUCCUCUCCUCCAGUCACCAUCAACCUUCUCUCUUUUCCUCCAGGACAACAUCAACCUUUCCCCUCUCCUCCAGGACAACAUCAACCUCCUCCGCUCCUCCAGGACAACAUUAACCUUCCUCCUCUCCUCCAGGACAACAUCAACCUUCCUCCUCUCCUCAGGACUAUAGUACAACAUCCUCUUCCUCCUCUCCUCUGUACACCAUCAACCUUCUUCCUUUCCUCCAGGACAACAUCAACGUUUCCCCUCUCUCCAGGACAACAUCAACCUCCUCCGCUCCUCCAGGACAACAUCAACCUUCCUCCUCUCCUCCAGGACAACAUCACCUUCCUCCUCUCCUCGGACUAUAGUACAACAUCAACCUUCCUCCUCUCCUCCAGUACACCAUCAACCUUCUUCCUUUCCUCCAGGACAACGUCAACCUUCCACCUCUCCUCCAGGGCUAUAGCACAACAUCAACCUUCCACCUCUCCUCCAGAGUACAGUACAACAUCAACCUUCCUCCUCCUCCUCCAGUACAACACAUCAACCUUCCUCCUCUACUCCAGUACAACAUCACCUUCCACCUCUCCUCCAGGACAACAUCAACCUUCCACCUCUCCCCCAGGACAACAUCAACUUCCACCUCCCUCCUGUCCUCCAGGACAAACCUCAACUUUCCCCUUCCUCCAGGACAACAUCAAACUUCCUCGCUCCUCCAGGACCAACAUCAACCUUCCUCCUCUCCUCCAGGACAACAUCAACCUUCCUCCUCUCCUCCAGGA
rnacentral:lncRNA from 1 species